rnacentral:rRNA from 1 species
UCGUACCGGCGACGCAUCUUUCAAAUGUCUGCCUUAUCAACUGUCGAUGGUAGGUUCUGCGCCUACCAUGGUUGUAACGGGUAACGGGGAAUCAGGGUUCGAUUCCGGAGAGGGAGCCUGAGAGAUGGCUACCACAUCCAAGGAAGGCAGCAGGCGCGUAAAUUACCCAAUCCUGACUCAGGGAGGUAGUGACAAUAAAUAACAAUGCCGGGCUCUCACGAGUCUGGCAAUUGGAAUGAGAACAAUUUAAAUCCCUUAUCGAGGAUCAAUUGGAGGGCAAGUCUGGUGCCAG